UGGGGGAUAUUGCACAAUGGGCGAAAGCCUGAUGCAGCGACGCCGCGUGGGGGAUGAAGGCCUUCGGGUUGUAAACUUCUUUUGCUCUGAACAAGGCAUGCCUUUGGGGUGUGUUGAGUGUAGGGGUUGAUUAGCGCCGGCUAACUACGUGCCAGCAGCCGCGGUAAUACGUAGGGCGCGAGCGUUGUCCGGAAUUAUUGGGCGUAAAGGGCUUGUAGGUGGCUGGGUGCGUCUGUCGUGAAAGCUCAUGGCUUAACUGUGGGUUUGCGGUGGGUACGGGCUGGCUUGAGUGCAGUAGGGGAGGCUGGAAUUCCUGGUGUAGCGGUGGAAUGCGCAGAUAUCAGGAGGAAUACCGGUGGCGAAGGCGGGUCUCUGGGCUGUUACUGACGCUGAGGAGCGAAAGCGUGGGGAGCGAACAGG
rnacentral:rRNA from 1 species